GGGUGGGGGUGACAGAGAAGACGCGGCCAUUGUGCGAUCCUGGGCGCCCCCCCUCCGCGUCCAGCAGAUAUUGGGACCCCGGCCCUGGAAACCAGCCCUCGAGUGGCUCUCCCUCCUCUGAGAACAAGAUAAUUUAUCUCCCACUUUGAAUCUGUGGUCCCACCCCUCCCGUCUCCCGUCUAGACUUCCGAGCGCUGGCCUUCGCCGCCCCCACCCUGCUCCCCCCUCCCUCAGCCCCCAAGUGUCACUUUGUCCUUCACAACUAAGAUGGGGACUUGUGAUUCGUCCAGCUGACGGAGACGGGGGUCGGGGGACACCCUGAGACGGCAAAGUGUCCUUCUGCCGUCACUCCUCACCCCCCAACCCGGGACGCUCCCGAGUCCGGAGACAGGGGCAGCACCCCCUCUUUGCCGCCUUCCAGGGAGAGCGGCGGGAGAAAGAAAGAGCGAGGCGAGCGGAAUUCUUGAAUGGACGGACCGAUGCUACGUCACCGUCACCGGGCCGCACCCCCGCGCCACGGGAGGCUGGGAGCCGCGAGAGAGGCAGUCGGGCGGGCGGCAGGGGCCGCCGAGCCGCCUCUCCUCCUCCCAGAAGCCGGGGCUGGGCGUCCGGAAGCAGCGGCCUCGGUCCGGUGUCACCGUCAUCGUGGGCGACCACCUUGGCUUUUAGGGGUCUCCGAAGGAGGACGAGGACGGGAGGCCUGAGGAAGCUGGCGGGUGGAGGGCUUACACCCUGCAGAACAAGGAUCUCCGGGGAGAGGGGACGGAGGCCGGGAGGGACGUGGGGCUUCUCACCUGGGGCGGGUGGGUGCUUGUCACCCUCCCGCCCGCUUUCCUCCACUCCUGGGCCAGAGCCGCGUCCAGCACCACGGACAGCUCCCGGGCGCCCGCAUCUCGUCGUUCUCCAGAGGGAGCGCUAGCCGGACAUCGUGACGCUCCGGCGAAUGGGCCCAAAGGGGUCCCUCCAAGCCCUGCCGCCCAGCCCAGGACUCUCUCAAGUCCCCGAUGAUCUUAUGCUCCUCAGCAUUGUCAGGAGUGAGCUGAAUUCAGACUUACUGAGGUCCCCCAGCCUAUGGGCCAGGGAGACUUUGAGCAACAGGGGCUUUUGUCUCGGAGCGCUCAUUCCUUGUUGUACAAGCUUGAGCUGGGAGGAAGGAUGGUUUGGGCAUCAUCCCCCACUGAUAGCAGUGGAGCCUGUAGGCCUGCAGGGAAGGACCAGGCUGAGGCUGGCAUAUGGAGGGAGAGCCCUGGGCACAGGGGCAUGAGCCUCACCCGGCCAGGGCUACCUUCUGCCGGGUUUGUCCAUCUGGCACCAGCUGGCUUUCCAGCGCUGCCCCCACAGCCAACCGGACUCCUUCUGCUUCUGUUGCCAUAGCAACUGGCUGCCAUCUUGUACUCGGGGCACUAUCUCCUAUCUGGAUUUUCCCAUGGGGUUCCUGGAGGAUGGGACGUAGGUCUCCAGCGAUGUAUCCCUUCCUCCUGAUAGCCAUCCGAUAAGAACGGCCACGAUGGGGGCCAACGACAUGUCAGGCUCUGUGCUAAGUACUCCCUAGGUGUUAUUUAAUACGGCAGAGAAAGCCUCCAUGUGAUCAAUUUAAAAGGUUCCCAGUUUCUUGUUUCUAUGACAGACCUUUCCUCUCUCCAACCAGGAAGCACCACGAUCUUGCUUAUUCUGCCUUGCAAGGUCCUUCCCAGUGUCUAACUGAGACCUGUUCUGCUGAAGUACCAGUUCUCUGACCCUGGGCUUGACAUGGCUAGAUGGAGAGGUAAGGAACGGACUGUCACCUGCUUUAGUCACUUUAUUGGGCUUCGUGGACUCCAACUGAUGGCCUAGGGAAACACACAUGGGUACCUUGGUGAGGUCUGAGUGCCCCUUAAAGACUUGGGGACACAAGUCUGCAAUCUUUUGUUCAGAGGGGCACCUGGCUGGCCCAGUCAGUAGAGCAUGCGACUCUUGAUCUCAGGGUCAUGAGUUCAAGCCCCACAUUGGGUGUGGAGGCUACUUACAAUAAAACAAUGAUAAUAAUAAUGAAUGAAUGAAUA
ensembl:lncRNA